GUCCCGGCACUGACUCCGCUGGAAUUCCUAUCUCGGGACGCUCAACUUUUCCAUGUUUUCAUUGCAACCGGGAAUCCUUCGCCCUGUCAAACCUAAACACUUCAGCAAUCGUGAGGAAAACUACAUUCAAAAAGGACAAAAAAACCCAAGCAACAACAUGUGUUUUAUUCAAUGAGAAAAUCCCAGCGGGCACGGCCACGAGGCACCGACUGUACGGGGAGCACCUUGAAGGACAAGACUUGUAGGUAGAACCAAUAACAGAGCAAACAAACCUUGCUGGGAAGAAGCACAUUGUCUGCUAUUCACUAAUGAAUCUUUCACAACGCAAAGUGGGAGGAUUCUCCGGCUUUAUAUUCUUGACACAGCACCAAGCAACCCAAAAAAAAAAAAAGAAGAAAGGAUGGGGCUGCGGAGAGCUUGCCAAAUUGUGAGCAUCACAGGAAAGGAGGGCUCCUGGGAACUGAUCCCAAAUGAAACUAAAUCAUUUGCAUAUGCCGAGGCAAAUGGCAUUGGAGCGUACAAGCUAUUCUCCUAGAAUCCACUUUAAUAAUUCAGAGCACCUAUUCCCUUACAAGUCAGCGAGGUAGCGCAGCACCCAGAGCGCCGGGCACGGGAUAAUGAUCUAGGUGUGUUCUUAUUUCCAAAGCUGAUGUUUUUGUCCUAAUCCCAUAGGCAGACGUGGUGAAGUGGGGAUAAGGGCAUUUAGGGUAUUCUGACAAAUAGAAGGGAAUAAUACCAGAAUAAAGUGUGGCUUGGAGGUGCAGGAACACGGGUUUUUGGCGUUUUUUUUUAGACAAAGUUGCAUUUAUUUCAGUGGGAGGCUGUUGUAGGUGAGUUUUGACAACUUUUUUUGAGCAGAUGGCAACCAAAAUCUCCUUUCUUCUUCUUCGUUGUACGAUAGAAAACAGAGCUUUAUCUAACUCAUUUGCUCUGUGUUUAUCUGGCCCGUCCCUUAGGCUCUGGAUGAACAGCACUUGAAUUAUAAUCACACAUUUCCUUCCAAUUUCAUGCUUUUGGGAUAUUUUUCUAAUUACAACAUUGUCAAUCUCACAUGAACAUAUUGGGAACCUGUGGGCCACCCUAAAUGCACAGUCCAGCCUUGGUUAGUAAAUCAAGAGUCAGCCCUUAUUCUCUUUGUAAAUAUAGGUUAGUGGAGGCCCUGCAGAUGUUAAUGGACUAUAACCCCAACAACCUGUCCACAACCAAACUAUAGUCCAAAAAAAAUGGCUGCCAUCCACCCAUCUCUACGUUAAUGACAUCCAGGGUUGGGCAGUCGGCCCGUGGGGGCUGCAGUAGGCACAUCCGCCGUGGCAGCCCCGGUGGUCCCUAAACCCCCCGCAUUCCGACCCUGAUGUCAUCAUCUGCAUGUUCUCCCUGUAGGUUUCCUUCAGAAGGCAACUGGCAUCUGAUGAAACUGCACCAAGUAUUUUUGGUAGGGUAUGCUCCACUGAGACAGGGAUCUUGCAUUUCUACAUCACCUAAACAUAUUUUAGGAAUGUACAGGAACAUGAAUCACACAGAGACUGAAGGUCAGUUUCCUUGUUAUUGUCACAGAAUGGAACUUCUAAGGGACAGACACAGACCAACAGUGUGUUACAAAAGCCAGAAAGUGGAACUUCUGAAUAGCCAUAGGCCCACUGUAUGUUUCAGUGCCAGAGACAAAUAGUGGAACGUCUAUGGGUUACCAAAAGUCCCACAGUAUUCUUCAUUAUCAAAGCCACAAAGAAGAACUUCUCUGGGAUACUCACAAACCCACAGUGAUAAAGUGGAACUUCUAUAAGUCAACCACAGGCUCUCACAAUGGAACUUCUAAAGGACAGCAACAGGCCCAGAGAACUUCUGCUGCAAAACUCUUUUGUUUAUUGUACAUGUAAUUUGUCAGGUCUACACGGUGGAGCUUCUGUGGGACAGUCACUGGGCAGCGUAACAUUUGCAUUCUGGAUCCAUAGGGUGUAGCUUCUAUUUAAACAGCCAUUAAAUACAUAUAUUGAAGUUUUAUAAGGGCGACCAAGGUCCAUGUCGACAGGGAUGGCACUGGGCUGGUAAAAAUUAAACUUCAUGAGAAUGUUAUAAAUGUGAUACUUUGAUGACACAGACAAGGGAUGCACCGAGUUCGGGAUUCCGCCUUUUUGCGUCAGGAUUCCCAUUUGGCCGAAUCUAUGCGCCUCGUCAAACCAAAUCCUUUAUGUCGCAUAAACACGGAAGUUGAAUUUUUUUUUCUUCUCUUUAACCCUUCCACAACCGUAUUUGCAUAUGCAAGUUAGGAUUCGGAAUCAGUUAAGUAUUCAGCAUUUGAUGCAUCCCUAACACAGACACAGGUCCUAGUCCAAUCUUCUCAUUUUUCAUCAGUGGACUCUACGGAAUGACGAGCAGCAGAAAUGUACAGCCCCAACCAUUUUUUCCAUGGAUCCCAGUUAAAUUACUUUCAGCAGAUGCUGGAAAUUGCAUUUUGCCGACAAUUGGUGGGCAGCAGGUAAACCCUCCCUGCUAUACACAGUCAGGAGUCACAGUCCUAUUAACCCUUCUCCACACUGGUGUCCUCCCUACAGAGCCAUAUUGCUAUAUAGGCACCUGAGGGCCACCCAGUUAAACCUACAACCCUAGAUAUGAGCCGUUGUGUGCCUAUGUUGAAAAAUAUCCCUGCUGGGGGCGGGGUAUCCCUCUGUUCUGUGAUUGGUAUGGGAGAGGCUGUCCUGUGUAUGAGCCAUUAAUGGAGGGAGUAGACACAGGGCUGGCGUCUGGGCAGCGUUGGACUUAAAUACAUUGCCGAAUGGUCAUGGUUUACAUUUGUGGAAAGAUACUAAGAUUUUCCAUACCUCUCCUACUAUUAACUGCUGCCAAGGAUAGUUGUACCCCCUUACAAAACACAACUCUGCCCUAAUAUACACCCUAACAUGGGGGCCGGGGGCUGCAGUGAGCGCCUUCAAGCAGCGCCCUGAUAUCUGAUCUAAUAUUGAAAAAUAAACACAUGUCUACUUACAGA